UACGUAGGGUGCAAGCGUUGUCCGGAAUUAUUGGGCGUAAAGAGCUCGUAGGCGGUCUGUCGCGUCGGCUGUGAAAACCCGGAGCUCAACUCCGGGCCUGCAGUCGAUACGGGCAGACUAGAGUGUGUCAGAGGAUGGUGGAAUUCCCGGUGUAGCGGUGAAAUGCGUAGAGAUCGGGAGGAACAUCAGUGGCGAAGGCGGCCAUCUGGGACAACACUGACGCUGAAGCACGAAAGCGUGGGGAGCAAACAGG
rnacentral:rRNA from 1 species